rnacentral:lncRNA from 1 species
ACAGGUGAUGCUGGGGGAAAGGAUCCUUGCCACAGUUAUUUGCUUCCUGUGAAUUGUCUGUGAAGAUGAAUUCUCAAAAGAAGGAUUAAUCAUUUGUCCAAAGCAAGUUUUCACACUUCUGCCAAAUAUUGACUGUCCCUCUCCAAAAGUGUUAUUUCUUGAACUCUCUAGUGGUAGUGUUGUCCAAUGCGAAGUGCACAGGCUUUGAAAUCAGGACUAGGUUCAAAUUCCAGCUUGGUCACUUACUUUACCUCUCUAAGCCUUCAUUUUCUAAAACGGGAAUAAUAAAGGUGAUCUCAUCAUAAGGAUUAAAUGAGAUUUCAAAUACAAGGAACCUACCGAGUGCCUGAUUUAGGUGCUAAAUCCAUUCUUUGUAGCCUCUACAUUUUCUCUCUCCUUGGAGUUAUGUGGGACAAGCAACUUCUUACUUUUCAAACUUCCUGUCCUUCUUGAACCAUGUUUUCCCAUGAAAGUCAUGGAACAGGAAUGAUCAUCUAUAGUGCUCUAAUGGGUGCUACUAAAGAGAAAUAUAAAGCCAUCCACAAAUUCAAACUGUGUGUGUAAUUUUACAUUUUCUGAUAGACACAUUUAAAAAUGUAAACAGAAAUAGGCUAAAUUAAUUUUAACCCCAGUAGGCCAUCCAUAUUUCCAGAUUCCACAUAAGCAGAUUUUGACCUGCCUCCAAUUUAAAAUGUUGAGGGUGUGGGGGACACAUGUAAAUUUUUUUUCUUAUGGAUGGAACUAGAGACCAUUAUGUUAAGUGAAAUAAGGCAAACUCAGAAGGUCCAAGAGUCGUAUGUUUCCUCUCAUACCUGGAAGAUAGAGAGGAAAAAGAAAAAGAAAGGUGGGAGAUGAGGAUAUCAUGAAAAUCCAAAGGAGAUCAGUAGAGGAAAGAGACUAGGGGAUGUGAGGUGCAGAGGGAUGGGGAAAGUGCUGGGGAGUGAUAUUAAUCAAAUCAUAUUGUUACAUUGCUUGCAUAUACAAAUAUGUAACAACAAAUCCCAUCAUUAUGUACAACUACAAUG